rnacentral:rRNA from 1 species
AGAGUUUGAUCUUGGCUCAGGAUGAACGCUGGCGGCGUGCCUAACACAUGCAAGUCGAGCGCGAUUAGUUGGAACGGCGACUUCGGUCAAAGAGAAGACUAUGAAAGCGGCGGACGGGUGAGUAACGCGUGAGCAACCUGCCCUGUACAGGGGGAUAGCCACUGGAAACGGUGAUUAAUACCCCAUAAUCCCAUUGGAUCGCAUGGUCUGAUGGGCAAAGCCUUGGCGGUACAGGAUGGGCUCGCGUCUGAUUAGCUAGUUGGUGAGGUAAUGGCUCACCAAGGCUUCGAUCAGUAGCCGACCUGAGAGGGUGAACGGCCACACUGGAACUGAGACACGGUCCAGACUCCUACGGGAGGCAGCAGUGGGGAAUAUUGCACAAUGGGCGCAAGCCUGAUGCAGCAACGCCGCGUGAGUGAAGAAGGCCUUCGGGUCGUAAAACUCUGUCCUAAGGGAAGAAGAAGUGACGGUACCUUAGGAGGAAGCCCCGGCUAACUACGUGCCAGCAGCCGCGGUAAUACGUAGGGGGCAAGCGUUAUCCGGAAUCACUGGGCGUUAAGGGUGCGUAGGCGGCUGAUCAGCCAGGGUGAAAGGUGUGCUUAACAUGUAGCUUGGACUGGUCAGCUGAGUUUG